rnacentral:rRNA from 1 species
UACGUAGGGGGCAAGCGUUGUCCGGAUUUAUUGGGCGUAAAGAGCGUGUAGGCGGCCAGACAGGUCCGUUGUGAAAACUCGAGGCUCAACCUCGAGAUGUCGAUGGAAACCGUCUGGCUAGAGUCCGGAAGAGGAGUGUGGAAUUCCUGGUGUAGCGGUGAAAUGCGUAGAUAUCUGGAGGAAUACCGGUGGCGAAGGCGGCAUCCUGGACCGGCAUUGACGCUGAGGAGCGAAAGCCAGGGGAGCAAAGCGGGG